rnacentral:tRNA from 1 species
CAAGUGGAUGUCGGAGUGGUCGCUGGCCGUGCCGUUGACAACGGCGCCGUAGAUGAUGGGUUCAAAUUCCGGUAUUUGU